UUCCUAACUUGCAGUUGGCGGAUGAUGUGAACACUCCCAAAAAGGUACUCAUAAACGCUGCGUGUCCCAGAUACUGGCUGUGCAGCUUUGCUGGAUCGUUCUAACAAGCCAAGCAGUAGAAAUACACAGGUUCCCUGUUUUAUCUGCUCAGCUCUUCACUAACAUCAUGCUCUCUGGACUCAGCAGGAUGUUCUUUCUGGGAGUAACAUGUUUACUCAUGAGUUCAGGCUAUACCAGAGCUGAGACCACCGUGUCCCCACAAAGAAAGCCCCCCUGUGACAGCCAGAUCUGCCGCUUGAGCCACGGUAAGAAAAGCAUACUCUGUAUAUGAAAGAUGUACAGACCUCCUGGGUUAGAAAAGUGGAGCUAAUAUAGAAGUGCCUUAAGCCAGCAAAAGAAGUCCAUGUUGCUUGAGUCUAAGCAGAGAUGCUCAGACGUUGGGUCCAAAUUUGUGCUCGUAAGUUCAAACACACAUACAGCCAGGGAAGUUGAGUGCAGAGUUUUACAAACACAAAUCUUUUUUACACACACAAAUUACACAAAUUCUCAUCUAUAGAUACACAAACAUAAAAAUUUUCACAUAUUUUGGUUCACAAGGUUACAAAACCCAGUUCACAAGUACACAUUUGAUUUACAAGUACAAAAUAUUACUGACCAAAAUUUGAGCCCAUACCAGCAGAGUUCACACAACUGUAGACACUGCAUUAAUCCCUGUGUCAACUACUUCUCCCCUUUUCCCUCACUUGGAAACAAGACCCAGAGUUACUUAAACUCCUCCUACUAGGGGUCGCCUGUCCCAUUGAACCAAUCAGCCAAAAAGGCAACGCCCAUAAUAAUGGAAAAUUUAUGCUUUCAUUAAGCGUUUAAACUGGUCUGUUAAAAAAAAAAUUAACCUCACACAUAUAAUUGUUUUAAAAAAUUGUUAUUUAAAUAAACAGUAAUAGAGACCAAAACAGUUUUACUUCUGCUGCCAUGUAA